rnacentral:rRNA from 1 species
UACAGAGGGGGCGAGCGUUGUUCGGAAUUACUGGGCGUAAAGGGCGCGUAGGCGGCCCGCUAAGUCGAACGUGAAAUCCCCAGGCUCAACCUGGGAACUGCGUCCGAUACUGGCAGGCUUGAAUCCGGGAGAGGGAUGUGGAAUUCCAGGUGUAGCGGUGAAAUGCGUAGAUAUCGGGAGGAACACCAGUGGCGAAGGCGGCUUCCUGGCCCGUUCUUGACGCUGAGGCGCGAAAGCUAGGGGAGCAAACGGG